rnacentral:rRNA from 1 species
UAGGGAAUCUUCGGCAAUGGACGGAAGUCUGACCGAGCAACGCCGCGUGAGUGAAGAAGGUUUUCGGAUCGUAAAGCUCUGUUGUUAGAGAAGAACGUUGGCAGGAGUGGAAAAUCUACCAAGUGACGGUAACUAACCAGAAAGGGACGGCUAACUACGUGCCAGCAGCCGCGGUAAUACGUAGGUCCCGAGCGUUGUCCGGAUUUAUUGGGCGUAAAGCGAGCGCAGGCGGUUCUUUAAGUCUGAAGUUAAAGGCAGUGGCUUAACCAUUGUACGCUUUGGAAACUGGAGGACUUGAGUGCAGAAGGGGAGAGUGGAAUUCCAUGUGUAGCGGUGAAAUGCGUAGAUAGAUGGAGGAACACCGGUGGCGAAGGCGGCUCUCUGGUCUGUAACUGACGCUGAGGCUCGAAAGCGUGGGGAGCAAACAGG